UACGUAGGUGGCAAGCGUUGUCCGGAUUUAUUGGGUUUAAAGGGAGCGCAGGCGGAUUGGUAAGUCAGUGGUGAAAGCCUUAAGCUUAACUUGGGAACUGCCAUUGAUACUAUCAGUCUUGAAUAUUGUUGAGGUUUGCGGAAUGGGUCAUGUAGCGGUGAAAUGCAUAGAUAUGACCCGGAACACCUAUUGCGAAGGCAGCAGGCUAAACAAAGAUUGACGCUGAGGCACGAAAGUGUGGGGAUCAAACAGG
rnacentral:rRNA from 1 species